AAAACUUAUUUAGUAAUACUUAUUUUCCACUCUCUCUCCUUCACUUCUUCAUUAGUUAUUUAACCUACCAAGAGACACUCUAGGCAAUGGAUCUGUCUCUAUCCAGCCUUUAGUUGUCAAAAUAAUCAUUUCAGUGACUGUUACAAAUCUUAAGCUCACUUCAACAAAGACGUGCUCUAUUUUCCAUCUCUAUCAGUAAAAUUUGGAAAGAAUACAAAGAAAAUGGGGAGGGGGGCCUGUGGGAAGUGGUUUUCUGCUAUAAAAGACAAAAGGGUUGCUUUGUUAAGUAAGAUUGAGUACUUUGAUAAUCCUUCUAUCAUUUCCACACAAUUGUCAGAUACCAAUUAAGGAGAAUCUAAAUAAACAAGUACAUAUUUUUUACACUUUAAACUUGAAAUGGAGGCUUGAAAUUAAAAUUGAAAAACUAUGUAAUUCUGAACAACAGAACAGAUAGAUUGCAGUGUCAAAGUAUCCACAACAUAACCUGAAACUGGCAGGCCUAACAAAAGUUUUGUUAAGGCAUGCUCCUUGACAGUUUGGAAGAGAAGCAAAGAGAUAUCCUUUAGCACCCCUCCAUUAAUAAAAUCCUAUUUGAGUUUCAUAAAAGCCUACAACCAUAAGCUCAAGAUGAUACGUAAAUAAACAUGGUUAUGUUUCAUUAUAUCUUGAAAAUUAAGCAAAUUAUAAAAGAAAAAAUUAAAGCUCUACAAAAGGAAGUUUCGAAACAGCUGCAAACUCAAAACUAUAUAUAAAGGACACCAAAGGUCUAAAUGACUACAUUUCAAAAGAAAAGAAAAACCACAAAGCAUUUUAUCUAAGUCGAGGUCAUAUCAAAAUACUUAGUACCCAAGCUAGUUCUAGAUUAUAAUACUUGCAACGAAAUCAUAAUUCUCUCAAUUCAGGUACAUAACACAAUCCUUUCUAGCACUGUUACAGAACCUAGUUGUAUUGGUAUUUGAUAUUCAUAAUUCACAUAUAUAUAAUGAAAUUAAUCCAUUAUUUUUCAACAAACUUGGUAGAAAGGCAAGGAUUCCAAGGGACAAAAGACCAUAGGCUUAGUAUUUUUCUCCAACCAUGUGGCUUGUCAAGAUGAGGAAUGAAAGAGAGUGAAGCAAAAAUCCAAGAGAGAGCAGAAAAAGUGCAAUGGUGAUCAGUGACAUAGGCAAAAAUUCAACCGAGGGGAUCCAAUUAAAUUAACUCAACAUGAUAGUUAACUUUCACAUGGAUUGUGAACUUCUAGAUUAAUUAAAUUACUUCUACAUUUAUAUAUUUGACUGAAAUCACACUUAAUCAUGUUGCCUUUUCUAUGAGAUAAUGGAAAAAAAAGGAAGGAAAGGAAAAUGGAAAUUAUAUAUCUAAAAAAGAGCAAAAUUCAGUAAUAAAUGAUUCUUUUCAUGGUAAUAAGUAAAAGAAAUUUCUAGAAUUCUAUGCAGGAUAUUGCUUCAUUAUUUAAUUCCUAAAAACUCAUAAUAGGCCACAGCCCAUGGUUUUAAAUCGCGGUCAUGGCCACGUUCGCGGUCACAGUCAUGAGCAACGGAAACGGGCCUGUGGUAACGGUCUGUCACUACGCAAAUUUUUUUCAAAAUUUUUUUAAUUAUUUAUGUAUGUCAUUAUUAACAUCUCUGAAUCAUUUAGAAAAUUCCGAAACAUGUUUAGUUGAGUGGUACAAAUUAAUUGAGUUGAAUAGAGUAGUAUACAUCAAACAUUUUAUACCAUUUGUUUGAAGCAAAAUUGCAAUACAUUAACCAUGUAAGACAAGUGAAUACAGAUAAUUAGAUAUACUCCUCAUGUACUGUUUCACAUAAAAAAGAAAC
rnacentral:misc_RNA from 1 species